rnacentral:lncRNA from 1 species
UUUAAAUCCAUAGUCUCAUCAAUUGCAUCACAAAAGUCAUAUCCAUAGUCAUAAUAAGACACAUCUUAUCAUCCAGUACUAAUAAGAGACAAUAUUUCAUACAUAGUCAUAAUAAAAGUCUCAAGUAUCAGAACACAAUAACAUGGAAGCUCACGGUCGCCGAUCACCAUCGGGUUACAGUGACGAGUGAUGGUCGAUACCUCCACUAGCGAAGAGGGUUUCGACAAAGUCUAACCCGUCUUCUCGUUCAUGCGUUGGCAAGGUAGUUCAUGCGUUGGCAAGGUAGCUGGAGGGGUCUAAUAUACAUGUACAAAUGAUAUUUGCCGAGUUACAUCAUAAUAUAACUAACAACAAGUAAAUGAUGAUGAAUUUGCAUACCUGAUGUUUGGUAGAUGGAAAUGUAAGUGUAGGUGGAGGUGAAGACC